GCUGGGCAUGGUGUUGCACACCUGUAAUCCCAGCAACUCUGGAGGCUGAGGCAGGAGAAUCCCAAGUCUGAGGGCAGCCUGGGCAACUUAGACCCUCAGCAACUUAGUGAGAUCCUGUCUCAA
rnacentral:sRNA from 1 species